rnacentral:rRNA from 1 species
GAGUUUGAUCCUGGCUCAGAACGAACGUUGGCGGCGUGGAUUAGGCAUGCAAGUCGAACGAAUCCCACCGCCGUAGCAAUACGGGGGUGGGGGAAGUGGCGAAAGGGGCAGUAAGGCGUGGGUAACCUACCCCGGGGACCGGGAUAGCCUCCCUAACGGGAGGGUAAUACCGGGCGAUCUGGCCUCAGGGCAUCCUGGGGCCAGGAGAGGAGUUUCGCCUCGGGAGGGGCUCACGUGGUAUUAGCUAGACGGCGGGGUAACGGCCCACCGUGGCCGAGAUGCCUAGCGGGUGUGCGAGCACGACCCGCGCCACUGGCACUGCGACACUGGCCAGACUCCUACGGGAGGCUGCAGUCGAGGAUCUUCGGCAAUGGGCGCAACGUGACCGAGCGACGCCGCGUGCGCGAUGAAGGCCUUCGGGUCGUAAAGCGCUGUCGAGGGGGAGGAACGCCGCAAGGCUUGACCUAUCCCUGGAGGAAGCACGGGCUAAGUUCGUGCCAGCAGCCGCGGUAAGACGAACCGUGCGAACGUUGUUCGGAAUCACUGGGCUUAAAGGGCGCGUAGGCGGGCCCCCUUGUCCGGGGUGAAAGCUUUCGGCUUAACCGGAAAAGGGCCUCGGAAACGGGGGGCCUGGAGGGAGGUAGGGGCGGCCGGAACUUCCGGUGGAGCGGUGAAAUGCGUUGAUAUCGGAAGGAACGCCGGUGGCGAAAGCGGGCCGCUGGACCUCUGCUGACGCUGAGGCGCGAAAGCCAGGGGAGCGAACGGGAUUAGAUACCCCGGUAGUCCUGGCCCUAAACGAUGGGUACUGGGUAGGGGACUGGACAUGGGUUCCCUGCCGCAGCGAAAGUGGUAAGUACCCCGCCUGGGGAGUAUGGUCGCAAGGCUGAAACUCAAAGGAAUUGACGGGGGCUCACACAAGCGGUGGAGCAUGUGGCUUAAUUCGAGGCUACGCGAAGAACCUUAUCCUGGGCUUGACAUGUGCGAAAGCGCAGGGCAGUAGGGCGCGGAAACGUGUCCCCAACGGUACCCAGUCCGGAACCCUGUACAGGUGCUGCAUGGCUGUCGUCAGCUCGUGUCGGGAGAUGUUGGGUUAAGUCCCGUAACGAGCGAAACCCUUGUCUCCAGUUGCCAGCGGGUCAAGCCGGGGACUCUGGAGAGACUGCCGGUGUUAAACCGGAGGAAGGCGGGGAUGACGUCAAGUCCUCAUGGCC